GAGCCAAGACCCUGCUAGACAAUCAUUCCCAAGAGGUCGCCCUACGACUGAUGUUUUUCCUCCUACUUUUACUAAACUUGGACCCGACCUUGAAACCCUGCCUCUGCCCCAGGCUGCCCUUGUCAACUGCAGGCCUGUCUGUCAUGGUGUGAUUCCACUAUUGCUCAUGCUAGUACUGGGACAGUGCAUGGUAGAACACACCUACAGUUUCAGUGUUUGGAAGGCUAAGACAGACGCAUCACAAGUUCAAGGUCAGGUCCUGCUUCGAAGCCUCAUGAAGGAUAAAUGAAUCUACCUAUAAGUUGAGUUAUUUGGCCUGAAAGGGAAGAAAUAUGCUGAGCAGAUUUCACUGGAAAGAAAUACACUUGGUGGCCCUGCCUGAGAUCCUGCAGUACAUGGGGUAGACCCAUGUAGAGCAUGGUAGAGACUCAAAAAGUUUAUGACUGUGGAUACCGUUUCCAGGGCUGGAGAACAUGCUUUAUAAUAUUGUGGGUUGAAUGCAAAGUGACCCCCUGAUGCACCUAUGUUUAAACACUUAGUCCCAAGCCAGUGUUUGUUUUAGAAGAUCAUGAAACCUAAGAGGUGAGACCUUGUUUGUGGAAGGGGGUUAUUGAGGACUGACCUUGAGCAAAACUUCACUUCCUGUCUGUUUUCAGCUUCUUGAUCCUCCUAUAGUAAGCAAGCAUCUUGAUAGUCCUAUCCGUUCCUUGAAUCCCUUCCCUCUCCCAGCCCUUCCCUGCCAUGAUGGUCACCCCAUACCAUGAGCCAAAAUAAACCCUUCCUUCCAUAA
rnacentral:sRNA from 1 species